rnacentral:rRNA from 1 species
GAUGAACGCUGGCGGCGUGCCUAAUACAUGCCAGUCGAGCGAACAGACGAGGAGCUUGCUCCUCUGACGUUAGCGGCGGACGGGUGAGUAACACGUGGAUAACCUACCUAUAAGACUGGGAUAACUUCGGGAAACCGGAGCUAAUACCGGAUAAUAUAUUCAACCGCAUGGUUCAAUAGUGAAAGACGGUUUUGCUGUCACUUAUAGAUGGAUCCGCGCCGCAUUAGCUAGUUGGUAAGGUAACGGCUUACCAAGGCGACGAUGCGUAGCCGACCUGAGAGGGUGAUAGGCCACCCUGGAACUGAGACACGGUCCAGACUCCUACGGGAGGCAGCAGUAGGGAAUCUUCCGCAAUGGGCGAAAGCAUGACGGAGCAACGCCGCGUGAGUGAUGAAGGUCUUCGGAUCGUAAAACUCUGUUAUUAGGGAAGAACAAAUGUGUAAGUAACUAUGCACGUCUUGACGGUACCUAAUCAGAAAGCCACGGCUAACUACGUG